rnacentral:misc_RNA from 1 species
GUUUCUCCUGAGCCUUUUAAUUAUAUUAAUGGUUUGUUUGUCUUCGU